ACCCCUCUCUGGGGAAGAAUUAGGUCUGGCCCUUUAAAAGUAAAUUCACCACCACCACCACCCCCCUCCACCCCCCUCUUGCCCUGCCCUGGCCUGUCGCCCAAGCAAGCAGAACAUUUACAGACUGGACAGACUUCACCCUUCUCUGCCCAUUGACAUCCACUCCCCACUAUCCCGUAUCUGAGCUGGAAUUUAGGGGUCCUAAAUCCGACUUCUAGCCCCAACACCAAGUUCUUCCCACUCCUCCCUGCUAUGGGAAGUUGAAGUUUCUGCCUGAUGAGUUUGCCCUUCAGGGUGAGGACCAGUCCCAAGUGAUUGUCAUGACCAUCCCCACAUGACAUGUGAAGAAACUGGCGACCUGUGCUGAGGCUUCACAUCUCUAAGCUUGUGUCUCUAGGAAACACAGCAGACAAAGGAACAAAUCAAACUGUGGUACUUCUCCAGGACAACUCACCUGGACUUUUCAAAAACGUCAGUGUCAAGGAAGAUAAAAAGAUGGGGGUUGGGAAGAAGAGAGAUAACAACCAAAUGCAAAUACAUGAAACUCGACUGGAGCCUGAUUUACAAAACAAUUAUGAAUGAUGAGAAAUUCACAUAUGUCAGGAUAUUAAAUGGUGUUAGGGAAUUGUUCAUUUUUUGCCAGAUAAUAGUACUUUUUAAAUUGACUUCAGAGAGGAAGGGAGAGGGAGAGAUAGAAACAUCAAU